rnacentral:rRNA from 1 species
GAUGAACGCUGGCGGCGUGCCUAACACAUUCAAGUCGAACGGAGUUGAAUUUCUUAAUCUUCGGAAGCGGAGAUUCAACUUAGUGGCGGACGGGUGAGUAACGCGUGAGCAACCUGCCUCUGUGUGGGGGAUAACGACUGGAAACGGUCGCUAAUACCGCAUAAUGUGACGAGACUGCAUGAUCUUGUCACCAAAGAUUUAUUGCGCAGAGAUGGGCUCGCGUCUGAUUAGAUAGUUGGUGGGGUAACGGCUCACCAAGUCGACGAUCAGUAGCCGGACUGAGAGGUUGAACGGCCACAUUGGAACUGAGAAACGGCCCAGACUCCUACGGGAGGCAGCAGUGAGGAAUAUUGGGCAAUGGGCGCAAGCCUGACCCAGCAAUGCCGCGUGAAGGAUGAAGGUUUUCGGAUUGUAAACUUCUUUUGUCAAGGACGAUAAUGACGGUACUUGACGAAUAAGCCACGGCUAACUACGUGCCAGCAGCCG